rnacentral:ncRNA from 2 species
UCGCCGCAUGCGGGAGAGACCGGCCGAAAGGUCGGCGCCGAAGGAGCAACCGCCCCGGAAACUCUCAGGCAAAAGGACCGCUCGGCGCGA